CUGACUUGAGUCUCUCUUCAGGGUGCCACGGGCAAGGCCGGAGACCCAGGGAGAGAUGUAAGUAAGGGGGGAUG
ensembl:miRNA